rnacentral:rRNA from 1 species
GGUUCAAGGAUGAAAGACGGUUUCGGCUGUCACUUACAGAUGGACCCGCGGCGCAUUAGCUAGUUGGUGAGGUAACGGCUCACCAAGGCGACGAUGCGUAGCCGACCUGAGAGGGUGAUCGGCCACACUGGGACUNGAGACACGGCCCAGACUCCUACGGGANGGCAGCAGUAGGGAAUCUUCCGCAAUGGACGAAAGUCUGACGGAGCAACGCCGCGUGAGUGAUGAAGGUUUUCGGAUCGUAAAGCUCUGUUGUUAGGGAAGAACAAGUGCAAGAGUAACUGCUUGCACCUUGACGGUACCUAACCAGAAAGCCACGGCUAACUACGUGCCAGCAGCCGCGGUAAUACGUAGGUGGCAAGCGUUGUCCGGAAUUAUUGGGCGUAAAGGGCUCGCAGGCGGUUUCUUAAGUCUGAUGUGAAAGCCCCCGGCUCAACCGGGGAGGGUCAUUGGAAACUGGGAAACUUGAGUGCAGAAGAGGAGAGUGGAAUUCCACGUGUAGCGGUGAAAUGCGUAGAGAUGUGGAGGAACACCAGUGGCGAAGGCGACUCUCUGGUCUGUAACUGACGCUGAGGAGCGAAAGCGUGGGGAGCGAACAGGAUUAGAUACCCUGGUAGUCCACGCCGUAAACGAUGAGUGCUAAGUGUUAGGGGGUUUCCGCCCCUUAGUGCUGCAGCUAACGCAUUAAGCACUCCGCCUGGGGAGUACGGUCGCAAGACUGAAACUCAAAGGAAUUGACGGGGGCCCGCACAAGCGGUGGAGCAUGUGGUUUAAUUCGAAGCAACGCGAAGAACCUUACCAGGUCUUGACAUCCUCUGACAACCCUAGAGAUAGGGCUUUCCCUUCGGGGACAGAGUGACAGGUGGUGCAUGGUUGUCGUCAGCUCGUGUCGUGAGAUGUUGGGUUAAGUCCCGCAACGAGCGCAACCCUUGAUCUUAGUUGCCAGCAUUCAGUUGGGCACUCUAAGGUGACUGCCGGUGACAAACCGGAGGAAGGUGGGGAUGACGUCAAAUCAUCAUGCCCCUUAUGACCUGGGCUACACACGUGCUACAAUGGACAGAACAAAGGGCUGCGAGACCGCAAGGUUUAGCCAAUCCCACAAAUCUGUUCUCAGUUCGGAUCGCAGUCUGCAACUCGAAUGCGUGAAGCAGGAAUCGGUAGUAAUCGAGGAUCAGCCUGCCGCGGGGAAUACGUUCCCGGUCGUGGUACACACCGCCCCUCAC